ensembl:misc_RNA
CUGAGAGCCUCCCUCUUCUGGUGCAAGUUCACUCACAUGGAAGAUCUAGUGACCUCUUUAAAACACUGUUCAAAAACAUCCUUUGCAAUUCAGCC